rnacentral:rRNA from 1 species
GAUGAACGCUGGCGGCGUGCCUAAUACAUGCAAGUCGAGCGAACAGACGAGGAGCUUACUCCUCUGACGUUAGCGGCGGACGGGUGAGUAACACGUGGAUAACCUACCUAUAAGACUGGGAUAACUUCGGGAAACCGGAGCUAAUACCGGAUAACAUGUUGAACCGCAUGGUUCAACAGUGAAAGACGGUCUUGCUGUCACUUAUAGAUGGAUCCGCGUCGCAUUAGCUAGUUGGUAAGGUAACGGCUUACCAAGGCAACGAUGCGUAGCCGACCUGAGAGGGGGGUCGGCCACACUAGAACUGAGACACGGUCCAGGCGCCUACGGGAGGCAGCAGUAGGGAAUCUGCCGCAAAGGGCGAAAGCCUGACGGAGCAGCGCCGCGUGAGUGAAAAAGGUCUUCGGAGCGGAAAACUCUGUUAUUAGGGAAGAACAGAUGUGUAAGUAACUAUGCACGUAUUGACGGUACCUAGUCAGGAAGCCACGGCUAACUACGUG